CACGUGCGUCGUUCAGCUUCUGUUGCUCCAUGUGUCGUGCUCCAUUACUCCAUCUCACUCGCAGCCACGGAGUAGGAGGAACUCUGCCAAGGCUUUUUCUGGGAAUUUGCUCUGGUCCUGCUACUUCCCUGGUGGUGCUCCACUGAUGUGGGUUGUUUGCAGGGGGAAUAAAAUGCUCAGCUGUCAGCUCCUGAAUGGCCUGUCAGAGGCCAAGGCAAGGACCAGCCCCUCCUUCAGCUCUGUGUUACACAGCCAUGUUGUAACCUCAGCUGCAGAUGAGAAGUGCUUUGUUUGUGACUCCUGGGUGCUCUGCACUUGAUGCAUCUCCCGACAGAUGCAGGGCAAACUCCGCUCCUCCCGCCCGGCCUGGCUCGCAGUGAUGGAUUAAGUAGGUCAGAGUAGGAGGAGUCCUGGUGGAAGCAGGGCAUCUGAAGUGAACCUAUGGACAAGCUCACCUGUAUGUAGAAGAGAUUGCCAUUGAUGUGGGUUCUCCACCCAGGACCUCUCAACUGAGCAAUGACAAGCUGCCCUGUUCUGCCCCAUGAAGAGACAGAAAACUUUGGAAACAUGCCUGAAUCGGACCCUUGCAUUUCUUUGGUGGAAAGAGCUGUUACCUUGUUUUGGGAGAGAAAGGUGCAGAAAGACUUGAAUGUUUCUUUUCCUUCCCAUGGUCUGAGCCACCACAUCUCUCUGUGCUGGAGAGAGGAGUGAGACCACACUCAGCAUCUGGUGAGUACAGGGAAGGACAAUCUUUUUCUUUCUGGCAGAGAUAGCCCAGAUGGAGCUGUGAUGUCUCCUACAGGAAGCCAGGAUGGUGGCUGGAAGGCACAGAGAUAAGAGAGAGCAGAAAGGAGAGAAAGAGAGAGAGGUCAGGCACUGCCUCAUCCUCAUUUCUGUUCCCUGCUGUACACAAGGGUAUGUGGGGCACAAGACAAGAUGAACAGGGAAACUGCCUGUUGGGUGAUGCCCAGCUCUGCCAGCAUGGGCAGAGUUGGGCAUUGCAGAGCAGAGGCAUCUUCCUGCUCCCCAUUUCUCUGAAACAUUCUCCAUGCAUGUUCUAGUACCAUUAGCUUUUCCCAGACCUGUUUUACAGGCAUUUUUAAUGAUUCCAAGGGAAAAUGAGACUCAACUGGCCACUGGCAAACCCAGCCCAAAGCUGCCCAGACUUGGGGAGGUUGCCACUUUGUCUGGAAGCAUUCUUUAUCCUUGGUGCAGGCUCUGUAGUUCCCUUCCAUGUUGAAAAGGAGGAGGAAGAAAUUUCCAUCAGGCUCAGUAAGUUCCUUUCCAUGCUGAACAGGAGGAAGAAAUUUCCACUUGCUGGGCCAGCACAAGCCAAGACCCAAACUGAACAAAGAAUGGGCAGUGGAUUCAGGGAUAUGUAAAUCCUCCUCCCCCAGCCUGAGGGAGUUUAUUGCCCUCCAUGAAGUACCCAGUGUGGCUGUCAUUCCUGAGCAGCCCAGUCUGGCUGUUAAAUGACAAGGGAAAAUUACCCAGUCUGUUCUCCAGAAGGCAAGCAAACAGCUUUUUCCAACCCCACAGUGUGCUAACAGGAGCCAGGCAACUUCUGCAGAACGUUUGGCACUGGAUGUUCAGCUGACUUGACACACUUUGGAGUGACUGGGGGUGGUACUGGUGAGAAGGAAGAAGGACAAAAGCAGUCAGCCACUUUCUUGCAGCGUCUGAGGGAGCUGGAUUGUAUGUUUGGAAAAAAGAAGGCAAGAGUCUGAGCACCUUCAUCACAGAUGCUGACAUCCAUUGAAACCUUUCCUCUCCACAAGUCAGUGAAAACAACAGAAGAAAUAUCCUUUAAUUCCUCAAAAAGUAUCAU